GAUCAUUGGAAUAAUACUAAAGAAUGUGGGAAUGUGAUAUUCACCGAUUGCAAACUACAAACAUUAUUACUUACAACUGCUGACAAUGGAUCUCUGGGCUCUUGCGUCGAUGAAGAACGCAGCUAAACGCGAAAAGUGUUAUGACGUGCAGUCUUUGAGAAUCAUGAAUGUUUGAACGCACAUUGCGGCGAGGAUCCGAGAGGAUGCAGCCAUGACUGUUUGAGCGAGGUAUUGAUCGUGGAGAGAACUCUGGAGUGGGACGUAGCACGCGCUUGUCCUCAAAUGUUUUACUGGUGGUGGUGUGACUUGGAAUAAUUCCUCAUGAUACACCCCUUUACACGCACACCCCCUCAAAUCAGUCAAGACGACCCGCUGAACUUAAGCAUAUCAGUAAGCGGAGGAAAAGAAACUAACGAGGAUUCCUGCAGUAACGGCGAGUGAAGAAGGAACAGCUCACAUUUGGAAGCAUUACCACCUGGUGGUGAUGCGUUGUAAAUGGUAGUGUGUGUAGAAGAAAGUAACGGGAUGCGUGCAAGACUGCUGGAAAGCAGCGCCACAGAGGAUGACAGCUCCGUAGCACCAUGUACCACUACUCUAUCUACCUACCCACACGACGAGUCGGACUGUUUGGGAUUGCAGUCUUAAAUGGGUGAUACGCGUCAUCUAAAGCUAAAUAGCGGCAAGAGACCGAUAGCGGACAAGUACCGUGAGGGAAAGAUGAAAAGCACUCUUGGCAGAGAGUGAAAAGUGCGUGAAAUUGUCAGCAGGGAAGCGGGUGUGGUGGUCAAGGGUUAGGGAGUGAGCGCUUGCGCGCGAACUGCCGAGCGUGGGAGAUGCGAGUGGGUGGACAAUACUAGGAAAGGAGUACGUGCUUUGGCACGCGAUUCUUUUACUGGAGCAACAUG
rnacentral:rRNA from 1 species